rnacentral:rRNA from 1 species
GACGAACGCUGGCGGCGUGCUUAACACAUGCAAGUCGAACGGAAAGGCCCUGCUUUUGUGGGGUGCUCGAGUGGCGAACGGGUGAGUAACACGUGAGUAACCUGCCCUUGACUUUGGGAUAACUUCAGGAAACUGGGGCUACUACCGGAUAGGAGCUCCUGCUGCAUGGUGGGGGUUGGAAAGUUUCGGCGGCUGGGGAUGGACUCGCGGCUUAUCAGCUUGUUGGUGGGGUAGUGGCUUACCAAGGCUUUGACGGGUAGCCGGCCUGAGAGGGUGACCGGCCACAUUAGGACUGCGAGACGGCCCAGACUCCUACGGGAGGCAGCAGUGGGGAAUAUUGCACAAUGGGCGGAAGCCUGAUGCAGCAACGCCGCGUGCGGGAUGACGGCCUUCUGGUUGUAAACCGCUGUCGCCUGUGACGAAGCGUUAGUGACGGUAAUGGGUAAAGAAGCACCGGCUAACUACGUG